rnacentral:rRNA from 1 species
GACGAACGCUGGCGGCGUGCCUAAUACAUGCAAGUUGAGCGCUGAAGGUUGGUACUUGUACCAACUGGAUGAGCAGCGAACGGGUGAGUAACGCGUGGGGAAUCUGCCUUUGAGCGGGGGACAACAUUUGGAAACGAAUUCUAAUACCGCAUAAAAACUUUAAACACAAGUUUUAAGUUUGAAAGAUGCAAUUGCAUCACUCAAAGAUGAUCCCGCGUUGUAUUAGCUAGUUGGUGAGGUAAAGGCUCACCAAGGCGAUGAUACAUAGCCGACCUGAGAGGGUGAUCGGCCACAUUGGGACUGAGACAAGGCCCAAACUCCUACGGGAGGCAGCAGUAGGGAAUCUUCGGCAAUGGACGAAAGUCUGACCGAGCAACGCCGCGUGAGUGAAGAAGGGUUUCGGAUCGUAAAACUCUGUUGGUAGAGAAGAACGUUGGUGAGAGUGGAAAGCUCAUCAAGUGACGGUAACUACACAGAAAGGGACGGCUAACUACGUG